UUGGGAUAAACCGUAAUCGUACCCCCUCCUAACUGCCAAAGUGUCAUGGCCGCCGUCGGGACCUAUUGUGCUGACAUUUACAAUGUUUACAUAUAGAAAAGUUUGUUUUUUUCUGCUUAUAAUGCCGUUUUCUAAAGAUAUUAGUGAAUAAAAUCGAUUUGCUAACAAUAUUUAAUAUAUUUUAAAUGUGCUAAAAUUGGAUUCAACAGCAAAAGUCGCAUAAAUAACAUAUAAAUAACGAAUUUGUUUACCUAUUACAAAUGGGGUUAUGUGGUUGUAACUGUUUAUUUUGGGAAUAAAAUGAAAAUGAUCAAUUAAACGACUGGAAAACUAUAGUGAAGUGAAGAACAUCUUGAAGUUUCAAUGAUGUUUCAAGAUGAGAUAAAUCGAAAUAAUGGUUGUAUGUUAGAAGGACAGAGAAUACGAAGAAAUGUUAUUGCUGCAAACUUAGUGUAGUGAAUUAAAAACUUAUUGUCAAAUACAAAUCAAUUUAUUUCAUACUUUUAUAAUAUAUAGUGGUACAAUUUUAUAUGUGUUCAAAUAAAAAUAUUAAUAAAUAAAAUACAAUAAACACAAA